AGCUAAAGUCUCUGUAGUACAGAUGAGAAAUAUGCUGGGCAAGACAGUUUUGGUUAUUCAAGAUGUCAAGGAGGAGAAGGUUGAAGAGCUCCUCCAAGAUGAAUGAAGUGGUUUGCAACUAGAAAGUAUUUGCUGCUCCUUAAACCAUGGAAGGUACUUCAGCUUUUCAACAGAGCUCUGCUUACUCCAUCAGAGCUACAUGGUUUAACAGCAGUUCACCAUUCAGAUCAAUCUGUGUGAAGAUUGAAACUGGACUUGACAUAUUUUAUAAUUUGUCUCCCAUCUCUUGUCUACCCUGGAACUGUUCUAAACACCAAGCCCUGGCUCCUGGCAAGCUGAUCUUAUCUUAUGGGAAGUAUUCUGAUUGCUGUUUUUCUGAACCACUCAACUGCCUUCUCAGCUGUGCUUUUGGCUCCUGGACAUGCCCCAUUAUUCUCUCAGAAUAUUUUUCAUUGACCUUGGUGAUCUCAAUGAAUCUGUAAGAUGCAACUCAACCGCCAUCACUCCUUGUCCUACUGCUAAACACCACUGAGAAGAGCCUGGCCUCAUCCAUUUGCCUCCCAACUCCCUUUAGAUACUUACAAACACUUCUCAGAUCUUCUCUCAGUCUUCUUUUCU
ensembl:lncRNA